ACUCCUACGGGAGGCAGCAGUGGGGAAUAUUGCACAAUGGGCGCAAGCCUGAUGCAGCCAUGCCGCGUGUAUGAAGAAGGCCUUCGGGUUGUAAAGUACUUUCAGCAGUGAGGAAGGUGGUGUCGUUAAUAGCGGCAUCAUUUGACGUUAGCUGCAGAAGAAGCACCGGCUAACUCCGUGCCAGCAGCCGCGGUAAUACGGAGGGUGCGAGCGUUAAUCGGAAUUACUGGGCGUAAAGCGCAUGCAGGUGGUUUGUUAAGUCAGAUGUGAAAGCCCGGGGCUCAACCUCGGAAUUGCAUUUGAAACUGGCAGACUAGAGUACUGUAGAGGGGGGUAGAAUUUCAGGUGUAGCGGUGAAAUGCGUAGAGAUCUGAAGGAAUACCGGUGGCGAAGGCGGCCCCCUGGACAGAUACUGACACUCAGAUGCGAAAGCGUGGGGAGCAAACAGGAUUAGAUACCCUGGUAGGAAAGCG
rnacentral:rRNA from 1 species